AGUCGAACGAGACCUUCGGGUCUAGUGGCGCACGGGUGAGUAGCGCGUGGGAACCUACCCUUUUGUGGGGGAUAACCGAGGGAAACUUCGGCUAAUACUGCAUGCGCCCGGAGCAAUCCGGGGAAAGAUUUGUCGCAAAAGGAUGGGCCCGCGUCGGAUUAGCUAGUUGGUGGGGUAAUGGCCUACCAAGGCUUUGAUCCGUAGCUGGUCUGAGAGGAUGAUCAGCCACACUGGGACUGAGACACGGCCCAGACUCCUACGGGAGGCAGCAGUAGGGAAUAUUGGACAAUGGGCGAAAGCCUGAUCCAGCAAUGCCGCGUGAGUGAGGAAGGCCUUAGGGUUGUAAAGCUCUUUCGGCGGGGACGAUGAUGACGGUACCCGCAGAAGAAGCCCCGGCUAACUUCGUGCCAGCAGCCGCGGUAAUACAGAGGGUGCAAGCGUUGUUCGGAAUUAUUGGGCGUAAAGGGUGCGUAGGCGG
rnacentral:rRNA from 1 species